rnacentral:rRNA from 1 species
UACAGAGGUGGCAAGCGUUGUUCGGAAUUACUGGGCGUAAAGGGCGCGUAGGCGGUUCGAUAAGUCCCGUGUGAAAGCCCCCGGCUCAACUGGGGAACUGCACGGGAAACUGACGGACUUGAGUUCGGGAGAGGGAAGCGGAAUUCCGGGUGUAGCGGUGAAAUGCGUAGAUAUCCGGAGGAACACCGGUGGCGAAGGCGGCAUCCUGGACCGGUAUUGACGCUGAGGCGCGAAAGCCAGGGGAGCAAACGGG